rnacentral:misc_RNA from 1 species
GUCCUCCAAGUAUGAAAAUGGAAUUCUCCUGCCGAAGGUGUCAUUAGCCAUGCAGAGAAAAGUAAGGCCAUCGGAUCUGAGUAUGUGAAAUAUGUAGCGAUCUUGAGAAAAGCACAGCCUAGAAUCGGCCUCAGAUGGAAGCUUCUCGAGGAUCCGCCUAACCACAGCCCCUGUGUUCCCUGUCACCGCACUGAACUCCGCCAGCACCACCAUCCCCCGCGCCACCACCGCGUAGAGGAUCGCCAUCUCUAUCUAAAUUGCGUGUCUCUGUAUGCGUAUAUCUUUACCUUGAUGGUGAAAUUAAAGAAAGGUUUCCUUUCUGAAUAUUUUAUUGGGGAUUUCGGAUAGUAUAAGAGUCAAGCAAGGAAGUUGAGAGGCUGGGUGGAGCCGACCAGCGAUGCCACCGGCUAGUCCACGCACGGCUGUUUUAGGUUCGUUGAAUUUGGUAUGACGAAGCGUAGGGCAUAUACCUCUUGCGCUACCUCCCUUUCCGUCGUCGCACGAUUCCACACUUCGUAGCUUCCGAUAACCGUCGUCGGGAGGCGC